rnacentral:lncRNA from 1 species
AAGAGCGCCUGGUGUUGGCCAUCCUGCGGCUUCCAACUCGAGAAGGGGGCAGAACCCGGCGAGGACCCGAGAAGGCGGUCAGCGAGGCGAUUGUUGGCAUUCCCCAGAGGAAAGGAAGGGUGUGUGUGUGUGUGUGUGUGUGUGUGUGUGUGUGAGAGAGAGAGAGAGAGAGGAGCGAGCUGAUUCAGUCUCCCUCAAAACGAGAGAGGUUGAGAGAGAGAGGAGAGAGGGGAGAGAUAGAGAGAGAGGAGCGAGCUGAUUCAGUCUCCCUCAAAACGAGAGAGGUUGAGAGAGAGAGGAGAGAGGGGAGAGAUAGAGAGAGAGGAGCGAGCUGACUGAGUCUCCCUCUAAACGAGAGAGGGUGAGAGAGAGAUAGAGAAGAGUGAGCUGAUUUAGAACAGUUGAAAGAGAGAGGAGAGAGGGAAGAGAAAGGGAAGAGAGAGAGAAGAGCGAGCUGAUUUAGAACAGUUGAGAGAGAGAGAGAGAGAGAGGGGAGGAACGAGCCGGUUG